rnacentral:lncRNA from 1 species
CUUUUACCUUGCUUCUUAUGCAGAUUUCUAGAGCACACCCCAUAUUUCUCACCGCCACAUAGGUCUGUUUGAUAGAACUACGUCCAAUUUAUGAGAAAAUGAGGGAACGUGCUCGCGGCUGUCUGUUCUAUUUUUGACCGUCUGUCUAAAUUUUUUCCACUCCCUCCAAUAACACGACGCGACGCCGACGUGAUGACGCAGUAGAAUGAGUUUGUUAGUCUUGCCGCUGAUGCUGAUACGACAACAGUAGGUAUUCGUUUUCGCUAGCCGUCUUCCAACAUGAAUCGAUCCAUAAUUUUAUUACUGCUCUGGAUUCUUGCGCCCGAAUCCAGGAUCCCGGCGAGCCCAUUCCAGCACCUCGAGUAACGUUGGCGUAUCUUAUACCAGAGCAGAGGAUGUAUGUUCGCAGAAAAGGGGGAUUUGCCUCGUUACACCCCAAACUCUCGAGCGCCCAAGCACCGAGACCUGUAAUUUAGACACUGACAAAUGCUGAAGGACAAACCCAAGGCAACGCGGAAACGCGGAAUGGACACGGAAUGAUCACGGAUAAACCCGCCGAACUACAAUAUCAAAAAGAAUUACUUGAGUGUCGUAAAGAAGAAAGAGCUUGUCGAGAAGAGGUCAAGUCACUACAUGAUAAAGUAUACAAUUGCAGUCAAGAAGUCCGCGAGUGCAGUCAACAAGUCCGCGAGUGCAGUCAACAAGUCGUCAAUUGCAGCCAACAGUCAUUUAUACAGGCACACGCUUACCAAGAACAACUGAAUGUAUUAACUCAAAGCGUAGCUAAGGAAAAGGCCGCAAAGGAGGACAUGGAGAAAUACGCUCUUAUCUUACACGUAAGAAGUAGGAUCGAGGAGUUGGAAAAGAAAUUUUUUAGAUAUAAGAAGAGAGAAUCACGAGAAAUUAAGUGGAAAAAGAUACUGGAUUUAAAGAAAAAUGAGGGAGAAUUGAUACCUAUACCUGAGCUGACUAUGCUUCGGGACAGAGUGCCACCAAGUCGCCGUGAAGGAUUUGUGAGAAUGAUAGUCUUAUUAUACGGAGACUUCUCCGAUAAAGCGGCCCACAAUGUUCGAUGUGGGUAUAUAUAUCAUAGGGACUCUAUCAAACAAAUGCUACAAAUUUUUCAUAUUGGAGCCGACGAGAGCCACGUUCAUUACGUUCAAGCAAUAAGGGAUAUUCUUACUCCGUUAAAUAAAGAAGAAUGUGCCACGUACAAGCAAUAA